GAGAGAGACAUGCGCGCAUAUCAAUAAGCGGAGGAAAAGAAACUAACAAGGAUUCCCCUAGUAACGGCGAGUGAAGCGGGAAGAGCUCAAAUUUGAAAUCUUAAAGGGUUUCCCUUUACGAAUUGUAGUUUAAAGAAGUGUUUUCUGUUGAGGUUUUGGUAAAAGUUCUUUGGAAUAGGACAUCAUAGAGGGUGAGAAUCCCGUAUUUGACCUUUACUUUCAACUUUGUGAUACACUUUCAAAGAGUCGGAUUGUUUGGGAAUGCAGUCCAAAAUGGGUGGUAAAUUUCAUCUAAAGCUAAAUAUUGGCGAGAGACCGAUAGCGAACAAGUACCGUGAGGGAAAGAUGAAAAGAACUUUGAAAAGAGAGUUAAACAGUACGUGAAAUUGUCAAAAGGGAAGCGUUUGACACCAGUGCUGUUUUUCUGAAAAUCAAUUAAAGAACUGUUUAUGCUAAGUUGUUUAGACUUUAUCAGCUAACUGUUUAGUUUUGAGCUUUUCUUUAAUGCACUUUUCAGUUAACAAGUCAACAUCAAUUUCUUUUGCUGUAAAAAAGCUUGAGGAAGGUGGCUUGAGAUUCGUCUUAAGUGUUUAUAGCCUCUUGCCUAUGCAGUCGGAGAGAUUGAGGUCUGCAGCGUAGAUCCUUCGGGGCUAAAUGCAUUUGUGCUAAGUUAUAGCAUUUUAUAGACAACUUGUUGACUAUGAUUUGUCUUGUAGCUUACUCGCUUAUGUUAUUUUACCUACGCUUAGGAUGUUGAGCGCAUGUCUCUCUCU
rnacentral:rRNA from 1 species